rnacentral:rRNA from 1 species
GAGUUUGAUCUUGGCUCAGAUUGAACGCUGGCGGCAGGCCUAACACAUACAAGUCGAGCGGUAGAGAGAAGCUUGCUUCUCUUGAGAGCGGCGGACGGGUGAGUAAUGCCUAGGAAUCUGCCUGGUAGUGGGGGAUAACGCUCGGAAACGGACGCUAAUACCGCAUACGUCCUACGGGAGAAAGCAGGGGACCUUCGGGCCUUGCGCUAUCAGAUGAGCCUAGGUCGGAUUAGCUAGUUGGUGAGGUAAUGGCUCACCAAGGCGACGAUCCGUAACUGGUCUGAGAGGAUGAUCAGUCACACUGGAACUGAGACACGGUCCAGACUCCUACGGGAGGCAGCAGUGGGGAAUAUUGGACAAUGGGCGAAAGCCUGAUCCAGCCAUGCCGCGUGUGUGAAGAAGGUCUUCGGAUUGUAAAGCACUUUAAGUUGGGAGGAAGGGCAGUAAAUUAAUACUUUGCUGUUUUGACGUUACCGACAGAAUAAGCACCGGCUAACUCUGUGCCAGCCGCCGACCG